CAGCCCCCUUUCAGAACCGUCCUCCUAUGAAACCCUAAAUUCUACGAGACAACAUCCAUCAUUCUCUAUUCAUCUUGCUCGAAAGGGGCUAUGCUAUUUAUGUCAUAUUUUACAGAAUCAUAGGUGAUGGCAACCUCCACCUCCGUUCUCUUCUCUCGCCUCUUUAGGAGAUCCCUUCCAAACCUCUGUGAACAAAUUCAAAUCGAACUGAAAUCGAAUAUGCAGUCAAUGACUUCUUCACCUUCAAGACAUUCGAAGUUCGUAGUCUUGUGACCUUUCCAGAAGGAGAAUCCAUAGUUCAAGUCAAUGUAAUCGGUGCGAGGUUUUUUAUUGAGACUUUUAGGAAUCUUCAAUUAAUUUUUCUUCUUUUAAUUUGAAAUUAUGGGUUGUUCAUAUUAAAAAAUAGGUUUGUGAUUCAUUCACUUUGGAUAUGAAUGAAUUCUGGAUAGUUGAUAUAUCCUAUUUCAUAUAUGUGUGCCACAAUCCGAUAGAUGAGAUAUUGCCGCAUGUCAGUGUAUUACCUUUCUAUAAUUGAAUUAGAGCACCUAAUUAUAUUGUGCAUUUUAAUUGAUACGAAAUUUACCUUUUCAACUGUAUAGUAGUAUAUUGCCUUCCAACUGUUUGAGAGAAUGCUUUAAAGUUCUGGAUAAGUUAUCAAAUGGAUUUUGAUAAAGAAUCCAUUAGAGGUUCAUGUGUGUAUGUAAUCUUUGUUUAUUAUCCAGGUUUAUUUAGAGGCCAACUCGCUGAUUGAACUACAUGGAGUCCACUUGAGGCUAUGUAGCUUCCAAGUUCCACUUAAUCUUCCGGAUUGGUUGGUUCUUUUAAUCUAUCCUAUCAGGUUGUUAGGUUAUCCCUUUGAAAUUGUUAUGUAUAUUGUUUCAGCUUGAUCAUUUACUUUGUUCUGUACCCUUUUGUGUGGUAAUCAAUUGUACUUGUUAUACUAGUGUUUACUUGCAUUGCCUCUGUUGGUUUAUCAUGUGUCACAAUCUAUACUAAACAAAUAAUUUGGUGCAUUAUCUUGUUUAAAACUAUGUCGCAAAGGCAACAAGGCCAUUGUGCCUCUAUUAAUGCUUUUCUUACUUUUUUAAUAUUGUUUUUUUUGAUCGUUCCCUAACUAGUUUAGUAUAAUUCUUUUCUUUUCAGUUAUUGGAGACAACACUUCUGAAGGAUAUGANNNNNNNNNNNNNNNNNNNNNNNNNNNNNNNNNNNNNNNNNNANNUGAGCUACUAUAGUGUGGGUGAAUCCUUGGCGUGGUGAUAUACUGAUACCAAAGCUUCUUCAUCAAAGAACACGGACACUAAAGCUUCAAAUUGUAUAGGCUAUUUUGAAGAUGUUAACAAAGAGAAAAGUUACAAUUAUGUAUAUACUGUACUGGACUAUUGU
rnacentral:lncRNA from 1 species